AUAGUAACUUGGAAUUACAUGAUUUUUAUGUCAUUGGAAAGAAAAAAAAAUUAUCUAUCUAAAAAUAUAUUUUUUACUUUUUACUUCUACUUUUUGCUAGGUAAAAAUCUAGUGAACGGAAUGUAACUUCGUUUUGGAUGUUGUGAUUACUUGAUUUCAUCUCUUUUACUUGUAUUAUGGUUGUUCCUCCUUGGUCUUUUGCCAAUUGCUUACUUCACUUCACACCACCAAUCACAAGAAACUCUCUAUUAAGGCCAUCUUAUAAUUGUAGCUGAGGAGUCAAAUUUACACUCACAUAAAUGGUGCAUUUGUAAGGAGAUGGUGCUUCUAAUGGUGUGUGAGAAUGUGAAGUGAGCAUUUUGUGAAUGAUCUUUCUUGUACUUGUUGUGUGAGCAUUGCAACUUAGUCUUCAUUAUUUGUAAAUUUUUACCUCUCUCCUUGUUAGUGUAAAAAAGGCCUUCAAAUUUUUAAAAAUCAAAAGAUAGUCAAAAUUUUUGUUGUUGAGUAGAAUG
rnacentral:lncRNA from 1 species